CACGUAGGGCGCAAGCGUUGUCCGGAAUUAUUGGGCGUAAAGAGCUCGUAGGCGGACUGUCACGUCUGCUGUGAAAAGCUGGGGCUUAACCCUGGCCUUGCAGUGGAUACGGGCAGACUAGAGGUAGGUAGGGGAGAAUGGAAUUCCCGGUGUAGCGGUGAAAUGCGCAGAUAUCGGGAGGAACACCGGUGGCGAAGGCGGUUCUCUGGGCCGUUACCUGACGCUGAGGAGCGAAAGCGUGGGGAGCGAACAGG
rnacentral:rRNA from 1 species